CAUGAUUCUUCUUGUUGAGACGUGCCUUGUUACCUGCCCUUCCUCCAUUUAGGAAUCCUGUCCAGCUGUUCUGUGUUUUCGUGUUUUAUUAAAAGGUGUUUGGGCUGAUGCUAUGGGGGGAAAUUCUGUCAGAAAUCCCAUGUAACUUAAAGAAAUGGGUGUACUUUAUUGGGCUUUUUCAUUCUGUUUAGAAAGGACUGAAUGGAGUAAUAAAACAAUGUGAAAGGGUCCAUG